GCUCUAAAAAAAGGUGACAGACGAGAAGAAUUUAAACAAGACUCCUUUCACUUUCCUUUCACUGUGUCACUUCUCCUCGCUCGACUCGUUUCUCAUUUCUCAGCCUGGAGAAGUUUCAACCAAAGUGACGUCGUACAGCACUUCAUUGUUCUCCAGGAUGCAUGUUUGGAUCCUGCCAAUUAUCACUCAACAAAAAUCACAGCUCUGCGUUCACAGCAACACCAGCAAUCGCCAAGCAGACAAAAAAUAACCAUGAAAAAGACUAAUCUGCCAUCCUACCGCGGCGCCAGUUCUUGGAAAGCUAUUGUUGCCCUUGGCCUGAAAGUCUCGACACAAACUGGAUCUCGAGCUUCACGGCUUUCUUCCUCUCCCCUUAACCACUUCACCCCCUCUACAUCUUCCAGAGAGAGAGGCAGAAACAACCGUGUUACGUGUUGCUGCCAAGCUCACAUCCGGCCAUGACGAACACAGCUCGCCGACAUGGAUGGCGAGGCAGACAGGCGAAGUGAAGUACAGAGGAGGAAGGUGGAGAGAUAAAGAUGGAGGGCUGCAGCCGAGGGGGCCUCUGCGGGGCUGCGGGUGAGUGGAGGAGUUCACGGGGAGGAGGUGGAGGAUGUGGAGGAUGUGGAGGGGAUGGGGUGAGCCUUUUUUCCUCCCUCCGUAUCACUCCCCUCUGUCGCUUCUAAAACAUGCACCGAUGCUCUCCACGCGCAGCAGCAGCAAUGUGCAGCUGCACGAUAAAGCGGCCAGGCGGGGACGAACAAGCUGCGCACUCGAAAAGCAAACUCGCUCACACUCGCUGAUAGAUAUCUGUUUAUCUUUACACUGCGUUUCAUUCUGCAAGCCACGACUCCCCCCUCUCUCCUCUACCUCCAUCCUCUCUGCCGGCUCACUCUCUAUUUUCCGUCCGCUCGUGUCUGCUUCCUCCCCGAACACACCAGAGAUUUUAAACUCAGUCUUUUUACCCCUGAUAUCAUCCCGAGUCCUGAUAUAGGGACUCAAUCUGCGGCGUUUCCCUCCCUGUUUCCUCUCCUCUGACUUGUCGUGACUGCCGGGUUUUUUCUACCUAAAAAAUGAGCAUAAAUAAAACAUCAGCUCCUUUGCACAAACGCCUAAGAGCUCCGAACCCCCCUUAGUCAUACUCUAAUUACUAUCAUCUAGCAUCCCCAGUGCCCACACACACACACUCCACAAUCCACUUCACACACAUAGGUGCCUGCCCUGGUUUUGACCUGCAGUGACCCCUAUUUGUUUUCUGUCGCUGUCCCUGUUUUAAAUCUUCAGACUCCCCCUCCCCGGACCAAAUGUCAAUAGAGUACUUCUUUAAAGUGUGAGGAGGGGCGCCCACGCCGAAUCCCUCAACCACACAGCGACAGAGAAACGCCGCUCCAUCACAACCCACGACUGACCUCGCUGAUGAAGAGCCCGUUACGUCGAACCAAAGAGGCGAGCCGAGGUGAAGCCCGGGGAUAAAGUGUUGGAAAAAAGGCGGCAGAGUGAGGUAUGAAGUGCACCGUGUCAGACGGCAUUUUUCACCGAGUGACACCCGAGUCCUCUCAGCUCGACUCGGGAGGGCCGAGGAAAUUCUCCACCUUUGAUGUAGAGCGCCGCAGAAGCAGCCUCCCCCACGCAGGCCUCCUCGCCGCUCGAUGGGUCGUCUAUCAUUUCUUAAAAACUCUGAAAAAAAAACGUCACCCCGGAGCAGCCUGAGGUGAAGGAGCUGCAGCCAGGUGACAUUUUUCAAGUGAAAGUUAGUGGACUUCAGCCCAGAUCUAUAUUGAAAAAGUACAAAUGGCCUCGAGUCUGGAAUGAGGAAUACGGUCUUAAC
rnacentral:lncRNA from 1 species